rnacentral:rRNA from 1 species
AGGAAAGUAGGGGAUCGCAAGACCUUGCGCUUUUGGAGCGGCCGAUGUCUGAUUAGCUAGUUGGUGAGGUAAAGGCUUACCAAGGCGCCGAUCAGUAGCUGGUCUGAGAGGACGACCAGCCACACUGGGACUGAGACACGGCCCAGACUCCUACGGGAGGCAGCAGUGGGGAAUUUUGGACAAUGGGGGAAACCCUGAUCCAGCUAUGCCGCGUGAGUGAAGAAGGCCUUCGGGUUGUAAAGCUCUUUCAGCCGGAACGAAACGGUCACAGCUAAUACCUGUGACUACUGACGGUACCGGAAGAAGAAGCACCGGCUAACUACGUGCCAGCAGCCGCGGUAAUACGUAGGGUGCGAGCGUUAAUCGGAAUUACUGGGCGUAAAGCGUGCGCAGGCGGUUUUGUAAGUCAGAUGUGAAAUCCCCGGGCUUAACCUGGGAACUGCGUUUGAAACUACAAGGCU